rnacentral:lncRNA from 1 species
AGUUGACCUGUGUGACCUUGGGCAGAUGCCUCUGCAAAGAGCAGGCUGGGCUGCAGUGGGGGUGAUUUCUUGGGUACCCCUCACCAUUGCUUUCCAUAAAAAUGCCAUCACAGAAACUCACCCUGAGUUAAGGGGAAGAGCUCUUAAGGCGAAUAAAUACUUGCUUUUCCCGUCUCCGUUUUUCUCAUUAUUUCUCCAUCAUGUGAGUCCGUUACUUCUGUUCCUCUCUUUUACUCUCUGGUUCGCACUUCCUGCUUCUUCCACUCAUUUUUGCUGUGGUUUCCUCCAUCGUUUCUCCCUCUUUGUCAUUCCCUGAACGUUUGUUAUGAUCUGUAUUUAUUGAGUUAGGUUUUAUAAGCUCUGACCUUCAAUGCGGCCACAUUGAAUGUUUUACAAAGCCAUCCCAACCCAGAAAGAACAGUCCCACUGACAUUUGAAAUUGCUUUUAGAACUGUACCUAAGCCUCAAAGCUGCUUUUCUCAGGGGACCUCGGGAGAGCAAGGUCUCCCCCCCUGCACUAAAACUAGCCCGCAGUGGCAACGACCCUGUGGCCUUGUUCGCCUCCAACAAGGAUGUUAGUGGGAGCUGGUGCGCUGGUGGAGGACGAGGAGGCUCUGCCGAAAUACCUCUCUGCCUUGGUCUUCGAUGGGAGUUGCAAAGAGAUGGACAUGUUUUGAAAAUAAUUCCAGGCUGAAAUGUCGCUGUGAUUACACAUAUGUUCGUAGGUAGAUGAGAGUCAAUUCAAGGUCAUUAAAACAUUAGGCUGUUCGGGAAGAUGAGCUCAGCUCACUCAGAAUUUCAGGUCUAGCAGGUUAGCUUUUUGUAGGUCCAAGAAAAUGCUCCGCUUGGCACCCAGCCGCCUUGGCUGCCCUGCAGAAACUCUGUGCCUUUGAUACUCAGUGAAAAAUGCACAUCUGGAAUGAAAUCAGACCUCAGCCCUCGCAAGCUUCUGCUCCUUGGUAUUUAAUUAUUAUGACUUGGAUGAUGUGACUCAGGGUAAAGACUUUAUUUUUAGCAAUGAUUAGAACUGCUCUGGAUGAGGAGAUCAGGAAUGCUGUUUAUUUUUUUUUAAUUGGAGCAUGUGACUAAAUAUAUUUUUCAACUCUUGAAUGAACAAAUCUGACACUUAAGAAAACACAUUAAAAACGGGCGUUUUUUAGACUGCUUUGGGGGGUUUCCAUAUCUGUCUUCUGAUGUUCUGGUGAAUCGUCGUUGAAAUAACUCUUUUAAAUAGUUUAAAUACGCUUUAUGUCUUGGGUCUGACCUGAAAUUAAGAUGAUAAGAACUAGGAGGAGGGAGUUCCCUGGUGGCUCAGCGGGUUAAAGAUCAGGUGUUGUCACUGCUGAGGCUCGGGUCACUACUGGGGCAUGGGUUCGAUCCCUGGGCCUGGGAACUUCCACUUGCCACAGGCGCAGCCAGGAAAAAAAAAAGAACUAGAAAAACCUCAAGUAUCAACUAGAUCGACCUUCCUUUUAUAAAGGAGGAGACUGGGGCCCAGAGACUAAACCCCUCCAUGGUGUGCAGAAGUUUCUGAGCCAGGGAUCAAACCCAAGCCACAGCAGUGACAACACCGGAUCCUUCACCUCUAGGCCGCCAGGGAACUCCUCUUGAAAGCAGUUUAGAUAUUGUAAGAGUUCAAAUUAAAUGAUGCAGCCACAGAGGGUUCUUUUCCAGUGCUCUUUUUUCCCUGUCUCGAUGGCACCAACCUCACUCCAAACACUGUCUCAGACUUUGAGGCUGAGGACGAAUCAGCCACAGGUCCUCCUUCCAAUGAACUCCUAAUGAGAACUUAUUUCUACAGAUCAAACUGUAGGUGACGGUGUCAGCGUGUGUGCGUGCGUGUGUCUUGUGUCUGCAGCACACCUGCAGGUAUUUUGUCUGUCUCCUUCAAUUAUGAACAUUCUUUCUUUUCUUUUCUUUUUUUAGGGCGGCACCCACGGCCAUAUGGAAGUUCCCAGGCUAGAGGUCCAAUUGGAGCUGCAGCUGCCAGCCUACACCACAGCCACAGCCACGCCAGAUCCAAGCCUCGACGGUGACCCACACCACAGCUCAUGGCAACGCUGGAUCCUUAACCCACGGAGCAAGGCCAGGGAUCGAACCCACAUCUCCCUGGAUCCUUUGUUACUGCUGAGCCACAACGGGAACUCCCUUUAUCUAUAUCUUUAUGUCUACAUCCAUAUUUAUAUCUGUAUCUAGAUAAACCUAGCUCCUUUUUUUGCUGGAGAAAAUCCUCUGACAAAGAAAUUCCACGGGAGAUAAAAGUUUUUGAACGAUUUCAAAUCUAAACAUUUCUCUAUUACACCUGUUCUUGAUGACAAGAUGUUAUAUAUGGAAUUCUAAGUUGGAACUCAUAUUCCUUCCAGAUUUGGAGGGCACUGCUCCGCUCUCCCCUGCUUUUCAGGGUUGCCAUUGAGAAGUUCACAGCCAUUCUCAAAUCUCACUCUUCGGAUGGGGUCUCCCUUUUCCUCUCCUGGAGCUCAUGGCGUUUGUCAUUCAUGUUCUGAAUUUUCAUCGUGGUUUGCCGGGUCCAAGUUGAAUGUCUUCGAAUGUACCCUUCGCAUCUGGAAACUGACGCUUUCAGGUCCUCUCUGCCAGGGUGUAUUGAACUUGUUAAUGACGGCGAAUUCCUUUGCUCGGUUCUCUCUCUUUCUGUGAACCUCAGUUGUUUAGACGUUGAACCCCAGGGAGCACUCCGCUAAUUUUUUUAUCUUUUUUUUCUUGUUUUUCCUUUCUUUGCCUCUACUCUGAUAGAUAGCUACACCUUUAUCAUCCAGCCUCUCUGCUGAGUUUAUAAUUUCCGCUAUCAUGCUUUUCUUUGGAUGUUCCUUUAGUUCAAUAUAAGAUCGUGUCUCCCUGUUCACGGUUCCUAGACUACCUCUUCACCCCUCUUCUCUGAGGAUCUCAGACCCCAUUUCUUUUCUUUUUCUUUUUCUUUUUCUUUUUUUAGGGGUUUCACCCUCGGCACAUGGAGGUUUCCAGGCUAGGAGUUGAAUCAGAGCUCCUUAACCGGAUCCCUAACCCACUGAGCGAGGCCAGGGAUCGAACCUGCAUCCUCAUGGAUGCUAGUCAGAUUCGUUUCCACUGCGCCACGACAGGAACUCCUUAGACCACAUUCUCGAAGCAGUCUCUUCCUGCAGCUUGUUUCCCACGUGUAGAUUUUAGCUGUUUGUUUUAAUCUUGGUCUUAAAAGUUGACCUUGUAUCUACUCAAUGUUAAGCAUGAGGGAGUGAAAAAGCCAAUCUGAAGUUCUGAGCAUGUGGGUGCCAUCCUGAAAAACGGUACUUGCAGGAAAUGAGGAGGCAUUUAAAAUCGUGUGUUCUUGGCUGUGAUGAGGAAGGAGAGGAAGGGGAGAGAAAGACGUUGAUGAGUAUCUGACUUUGAUGAACGGGCGAGGAGGUGUGGCUUCAUGAGUGGACAUGCGACUUAGCCCAUCAAAGUGCAUUUCAGGCCCAAGGAACAGUGAUCACUUAUUCAAACACUGAACAUCUUUGUGUGUCAGGCAUUGCACUGAGGGUACAAUGAUGGCAUAAGGGAGACAGGGUUCCUACUUCCUCGCCCUGGAGAGGGGACGACAGACAAGCAACCAAGCAAUUAAAACCCAGCGUGAGACAAUUGGGGAAGGCUCCUGCCACAUGCUUUGAACUAGAUGUUCCAACGCAAUCUCCCUUAGAAGACACUGUCGCAGAGAUAAAUGGUGUUUCAGGUGUCUUGUGGGUGAAAUUGGAUUUUAUGUACUAGCCUGGAAAACAUCUCUGCCACUGACAUCAUUACAAGUUUCAGAGAAAUUCGUUAAUGUUCCAUUAAUCUGUACUGAAUGUUCUGGAGGCAUUUUGCACUUGAAGAAACGGACUUAAAAACCGCACUUGUGGGAGCACAGCUCUUUUAAAGUUUUGGCACCGCCUACGAUUUUGUGAAUGGCCAAACGUGGAGUUAAAUCAGUACCAGAUUUUCUCUGGUUGGGGAUGGUGUCUCCCUGGAAAGCCUUUGAUCUUUUUGAGCAUUGAUGCUGAGCUCAGAUGUUUUUAACACUGCGGCUUUGGGGAAGUCACUUAAUUGUUUUGUGUGUGUAGACCUGUCUGCGUGUCUUUCUUUCUUUUUUUUUUUUUGUGAUGUGUAAAUGAGUGGAAUGCUGCUUUCUCGAUCAUCUGGACGAGCCAUGUACCUGCCCCACCUGGAGGAUGAUCAGAAAUAUCUCAGCCGUACUCUCUCCAGUGGGACCCAAAGGGCAGUGAAUUAUUGUGGGGAAAUUAACGGAGUAAGAGUUGAGGAAUGGUUUUUCACUCUAGUUUUGUCAGCCGUUAGGCGAGGGUCCUGUUCUUUUCCCCUCCCAGUGGUGGUUUUUCUCAUUUGUAAAUCGGGUCGCUCAGAUCUGACCCGCUGACUUCCCCCACUCACAGAGGGGAUCAAAGGAAGCAGUAAGUGAAAAGUCAGAGGUGGACUUAAAUUGGAGACAUUUUUGCUGGCGACAACCACACCAGGCAUGCGGAGGUUCUGCGGGGAGGGGCGCCCGCACCCCCUGUGUUAGGACCGCAGAACCAGGCUGCGGAAGCCGGCUCCGUAUAAAGGGAUAGAAAGAUGUCCUUGAGUUUUUCCUUCUUGCGCUGCUGCUCCUGGCCUCCCAGGGGACAGGACUCCUUUCCUGCCUCGGAGAGACCUCAGGCUGCCUGUUUGCCAGGCCAGCCUCCUUGCCUGGUGGAGCUGACUGCUCACAACGUGCGGUGGAAAAAGUCCAUCUUCUCCAGCUGUGCGCCCAGAUCAGCAGCAUCAGCAACGCCCGGGUCUGUUGAAAAGGCCGAAUCUCAGACCCCAUCCCACUUUCUUUCUAUUUUUCUUGCAAUGGCCAUACCCACGGCACAUGGAAAUUCCUGGGCCAGGGACUGAAUCAGGGCCGCAGCUGCCACCGACGCCGAAGCUGCGGCAAUGCUGGGUCCUUUAGCCUCCUGCACCAGGCCAGGGAUGGGUCCCACACCUCUGCAGGGACGCGAGCCACUGAAGUUGGUUGCUUAACCCACUGCUCCACAGCAGGAACUCUCCAUCCCGCUUUCUGAAUCAGAAACUCCGGAGGGAUAAACGAGGACUAUGGGAUUAACAGAGAGACACCACUGUAUACCAAAUAGGUAAAGAAAAAGGAUUUGCUGUAAAGCACAGGGAACUGUACUCAACAUCUUAUAAUCCAGAAUGGAAAAGUAUCUGAAGAAGAAUAUCCACAUCUGUACAGAUGUGAAACGAACAUCAUAUUGUAAGUCAACGGCAGUUCAGUUAAAAAAAUAAUAAAUACAAAAGAAUCUCUGAGGGUGAGGCCCAGAGGGCUGUGUUUUAACAGGAGUUCCAGGGCCUUCUAAGGCUCCCUAAAGUUUCCGAACCGCUGCCUCAGAGAUGCACUUUUCAAACUGCAAUGUGACUCAGAAUUGUGUCAAAAUUCAGAUUCUGAUUCGGAGAGUGGGUGGUGAGGCUUAGAAAAGAUUCUCUAACCAGCUUCUCUAACCAGCUUCCAGGCGAAGCCUCUGGGCCACUGACUGCCCAGUGAGCAGCCAGGGCGUGGAGGAAAUAGCUGGGAAGGAGGUACCCACGGCUCAAGGACUGCGUCAGCUGCCAGCUCUGUGGGACCCCACAGGCAGCUACAGUUUUCCUGCUCUAGAAUGGGGGUCAGAUCGUCCCCCUUUGAGACUGCGUGGUUCCGGUUUUAGGAACAACGCUCAGCACAGGCGAUACCUCCAAUUCUCAGAGAUUCGGGGGAACCGGGCCAGUUAGGGAACAAUGAAUAGGGCCGGGAGAAGGAAAUGGCAGGAUCUGAAAGAACCGGGUCCUGGGCUGGUGCGACAGGUGGCAAGGGCGUCCCACCCAGGGACCCGCUCAGGGGCUGGGAGUGUGGCGUUCUUCCGCCUAGGGUCUUGCCACCAGCUUGGCAGCCACUUUUGUGCACGAGCGUCCCUUUGCGUCCCAAGAUGGAGAGUUCCUUAGGGCGGAGGCAUUCAGGCUUGUGCAGGAGGUGCUUCUGAGACUCUGACCCUGCUCCUCGAAAGGGUCCACACUGGAAACAUCACAUCCCUCGACAGCCGCUUACCCCUCCCCUAUGGUUUUUAGGACGACCGCCGCUCCUGACAGGUGGCGCUUUCGGGGUUUCCUCUAACGCAUCCCAGGGGCGGCCUCUACUCCCAGAUCUUUAUCAAAACUCCUGGGGAAACUCAUUCCCAGGUGUGCACACUACUCGGGCUGUUGCCGUAAACCUUCCCAACCCACAAAGCUAAGCUCUGCCUUUUCCCUCCCAUUGACUUCGGCUGCUGUGAGGUUCCUCCCACCUCGGAGCGCAUAGAUGUGGAGGCGACCCCACCGCUGUCUCCGCCAGCUCGGUGAUGGCCCUGGGGCUGAGUGUCAGUAUUGACGUAGAGAAGAGUCUGGGCGGGGUUGGGGGCGGGUAUUCGGCGGGGCGAGCGCACGCUGAGCCGCAGAAAUGUGGUCUGAAAAGAGAUGACACGGACACUUUCCAGCCUGGAUUUCUGCUUUCGUCCUGGGCUUUGUACACAACUGUCUGAGACCGGACUCAGCCGACACGAUCCCCGGUGGUGGUCAGAGACUUCGCUGAACCAGAAUUAAGUGUCCGGCUAUAGCCCUUUUGUUUGUGUUCAUUAUUGCUUUUAUUACUCAUGUCUAUAUUU